rnacentral:lncRNA from 1 species
GUGUAUUUCUACCAGGCGAGCGGCUCUGACGGCGAAAGGACGGCGGGAAGCAGGAACCCCGGCAGACAGCACCGUCCCGGGGGGCUCCGCCGCGCCGGCCCCGGACCGAGCCCGGCAGAGGGCGCCCGCCGCCGCCGCGCCCCUGCCCGCGCCCGGGGCCGCACAACUUGCACAAGUUUCGGCGAGGACCGCGGGGCCUCCGCCCCCGCGCCCGCCGCCCCCGAGCCCAGCCCCGUCUUACCGCGGCGGGUCCGCGCCGGCUCCCGCAGGGCUGCGUCGCUCUGCCCCGGCCGGCGCGGCCCGGGGCGCGGGGCCAGCCCCGGCUGGGGGCUGCGGGUGGCGGCCGCCGCGCCGGCCCCGCUCGGCUGGGCCGGGCUGCGCUCGGCUCCGGCCCCUUCCUCUCUGCCGCUACUUUUCCACCCGGGCUGGCCGCAACUUCGGGUUCCUGCCCUCCGCCGGCGGCUCCCAGGAGUUGAUGGAGAGAGAGAUGCGGCGGCGAGCGCCCAGCGACGGGCGCGGGCAGCCAGGCAAACUCGCAGGGAUGUCGCUCCGGAGGGGCGGGGAGGGAAGGAAGGAGGGAAGGAGGGGAGGGAGGCGGGGAGGCGACGGGGGGGUUGGCAGAGCCGCCCCCGGCGAACGGGGAUGUGCCGAUCCUCCGCGCCGAGCUCGGCGGCGGGCGGCUGCCAGUCCCGCCGUGGCUCCCGGCGGCUCUUCCCUGCGGCUGUGGGCGCUGCCCCGCUGCUCCCGGCACCCAGCCCAGCCCCGCUCCCGGCAGCGGAUGCCACCCCCGCCUCUGCGCCUCGGCUGCCGGCGGAGCGGGGCUCCGCAGGAGCGCCCGGGGGCAGGGCCGGGGCCGGGGCCGGAGGGGGCCGCGCCUGGCAGCGGCGCAGGCGGGAGAACGCGGUGACCCGGUGCAGCGGGUCCCGGAGCGGGGAGCAGAGGAGGUGCGAGGGGGCUCGUGGAAGAAGAGCUGCCGCUUUGGGUCACCCCCGUGGCCGGCUGAAAGCCACCGCCCCGCCGCGGACCGGCCCCCGCAGCUCCCGGCCGGGGCAGUGUCAGGGACGGGCGCGGUGGUGGCCCGGGGACCGGCCAGCUGUACUGGGCUGGGCUGGGCAGGGCAAGGCAGGGCAGUAG